rnacentral:misc_RNA from 1 species
CGCUGUUUCACCUUCUUUCACUCUCUCAACUCUCCGCUUCGUUCCAUAACGCAUGAUUUUGCUUCCCGCCGGUUACCGACUCACCGCCGUGCCGUUCCUCCUUCUCCGCUGUGCAUUCCAAAACAUAAGAAUUGCAUUCAGAGCUGUCGGAGAUGGGAUUUAAGAAAGUUUAUAAGGCAUUGCAGGAGAUUUUUCCUGAGGUUGAUUCUCGAAUUCUUAGAGCUGUUGCUAUUGAGCAUUGUAAGGAUGGUGACACGGCUGUCGAGGUGGUCCUUAAUGAAGUUAUCCCCUGCUUGACUAAGCUUCCCUCAACUUCUGCUGAGCAUAGUGGGGUUACUGGCAUAUCAUCUGCAGCUGCAGUAGAUGCUAAUGGGCCUCCACAGCCUGAUGCUUUUCUUCUUCACAAUACAAAAGACUCAGAUGAACUACAAAAUGGCUCAUCAUUCUAUGAUGCUGGUUGUGGACAUCAUCAAACAAUUGAAGAUACUGAUGGUGAAUCUCUUCAGAAUUAUCAUGAUGCUGUUGGUGGAAAUCACGUACCGCUUGAAGUUGAUGGAGGUGGGACACCGGCCUCCGUGGAGAAGUGUGACAAAAGUAAAGAAAAAGUUACUGCCUACGAACCCUGCCUAGUCAUGAAUGCCAUGUCAAAUGCUGAAGGUGAGGAUAUUGCUGAUGUUUAUGAGAAGUGUGCACCUUUACUAAUUGAAAAUGAGAGAUGUGGACACUCUGCAGAUCCUGAAGCAACUUCUUUGACAGCAAACAAAAAGAAUGGAGCUGAAGUUGCUGACAAUAAGCUCUGUCUGCCCACGGAAUGUGUUGUUCUGCAUGAUACCUUUGAAGGGACUGAGAACUCAUCUUCUGAUGAUUCUACUGCACUUGUGCACAAAAGGAUACAUGAAGAAGUUUCUUCACAGGACAAUCGGGGCAUGAAAGAUCCUGAGGGUCAGGUUGUGCCCUUGAGUGCUCAAACUUUAUGUGGUUCUGAAGAUAGUAUAGAGUUUGUGGUUGCACCAGAUGUGCACAACUUUGAGCUAGAAAAAACAGAAAUCAGUCUUCAUCAAAAAGAAAAAACAGAACUCAGUGAUUCAGUCGAUGCUACAUCUAGUGAAGAUUUGGCGGGUGUAAUUCUUGUAACUAAAGAAGAGUCUAUGCCAAAUUCAGUGGUCACUGCAUCAGGUCAAAUUUGUAGUAUUGACCUUCUCGAGGAUAUGAUGACAGAAGCCAAAAGUAACAAGAAAACACUGUUUUUGGCUGUGGAGUCUAUUAUCUGCUUGAUGAGAGACGUUGAACUCCAAGAGGAAGCUGCAGAGCAGGCAAAGCUUGAAGCUGCUAAGGGGGGACUGGAUAUGCUUGAGAGGGUGGAGGAUCUGAAAGAAAUGUUACAACAUGCUAAGGAAGCAAAUGAUAUGCAUGCUGGUGAAGUUUAUGGUGAGAAGUCCAUCUUAGCUACUGAAGUUAAAGAACUUCAAUCUCGCCUGCUUGGAUUGGCAGAUGAAAGGGACAAAUCUCUCGCAGUUCUUGAUGAGAUGCGUCAGACACUUGAGGUGCGAAUGGCUGCUGCUGUGAAAGAAAUAAAAGCUGCUGAGCAAGAAAGACUAGAAAAGAAAGAGGUUGCACGUAAAGCGCUUGCUGAUCAGGAAAUUAUUAUGGAAAAAGUUGUGCAAGAGGCAAAUGUUCUGAAGCAAGAGGCAGAAGAAAAUGCUAAGUUGAGGGAUUUCCUGGUGGAUCGGGGGCGUGUUGUUGAUACGUUGCAAGGCGAAAUCUCUGUCAUAUGCCAAGAUGUGAGGUUGUUGAAAGAGAAAUUUGAUGAUCGUGUUCCUCUUCGCAAAUCUUUAUGUUCCGGGCAGACCAGUUGUAUCUUAGCGUCAUCAAGUUCAUCUUUGAAGAGUAUGAUAUCAGAUGAGGUUGCUGAGCCUGCAGAUUUGUUGCAUGCUCCAGAAAAGGUGGAUAGAGUGUCUUGUCAUGAGGAGGAGCACAAGGUAUGUGAAGAUGUUAAGUCAGUGAUCCAUAACACGGAUGAUGGAUGGGAAAUCUUUGACAACCGCGAGCUAUAUGUGUGAUUGUGGAGAAAAAUGAUUGACUGCUUGCUUUAGUUCCAAGAUAUGUCUCAUCUUUUAAUAAGUUUCUUGGUAGAAGAAACAAGCAUCUUUAGAAUUCCCCCAGUUUGUUAUGCUCAUUUUGCGAUGAUAAUUGAGAGCGCUAUUUCAAAGUAGUAGUAUCCUAUCAAGUAUUUUUGUACAGAACAAG